rnacentral:rRNA from 1 species
UACGUAGGGUCCGAGCGUUGUCCGGAAUUACUGGGCGUAAAGAGCUCGUAGGUGGUUUGUCGCGUUGUUCGUGAAAACUCACAGCUCAACUGUGGGCGUGCGGGCGAUACGGGCAGACUAGAGUACUGCAGGGGAGACUGGAAUUCCUGGUGUAGCGGUGGAAUGCGCAGAUAUCAGGGAGGGAACACCGGUGGGCGAAGGCGGGUCUCUGGGCAGUAACUGACGCUGGAG